rnacentral:rRNA from 1 species
AACAAACGCUGGCGGCGUGCCUAACACAUGCAAGUCGUACGAGAAAGGGUCCUUCGGGAUCUGAGUAAAGUGGCGCACGGGUGAGUAACGCGUGGAUAAUCUACCCUUCAGUUGGGAAUAACUCAUCGAAAGGUGGGCUAAUACCGAAUAAUACUGUGAGGCUUUGGUCGAUCAGUCAAAGAGAGCCUCUGCUUGCAUGCCCUCGCUGAAGGAUGAGUCCGCGUACCAUUAGCUAGUUGGCAGGGUAAUGGCCUACCAAGGCGACGAUGGUUAGCUGGUCUAAGAGGAUGAUCAGCCACACUGGAACUGAGACACGGUCCAGACUCCUACGGGAGGCAGCAGUGAGGAAUCUUGCGCAAUGGGGGCAACCCUGACGCAGCAACGCCGCGUGAGUGAGGUAGGUCUUCGGAUCGUAAAGCUCUGUCAGAUGGAAAGAACCGCAUGGGGGUGAAUAGCCCUCAUGUCUGACGGUACCAUCAGAGGAAGCACCGGCUAACUCCGUGCCAGCAGCCGCGGUAAUACGGGGGGUGCGAGCGUUGUUCGGAAUUAUUGGGCGUAAAGAGCGUGUAGGCGGCCGGAUAUGUCAGAUGUGAAAGCCCUGAGCUUAACUCAGGAAGUGCAUUUGAAACUGUCCGGCUCGAGUAGGGGAGAGGGAAGUGGAAUUCCUGGUGUAGAGGUGAAAUUCGUAGAUAUCAGGAGGAACACCGGUGGCGAAGGCGACUUCCUGGCCCUAUACUGACGCUGAGA